GCCCCCUCGGUACCUGCCGGGCGGGCGGUGCCGGCGGGGGCGGGAGGAGAGGCGUGAUGGGAGCCGGGAGAAAGAACGACGAGAAGAAAGGACGCUGCUGCCCGCGCAGGUUGCCCGGCCGGGUGUGGCUGUGCGCAGCCAUUGGGGAGGCGGGCGCGGCUGUCACCCCGCCGGCCAAGCUGCCCGCCGCAGGCUGGGGCGAACAGUAGGCACUUCGCGCUCUCCAGGGGCCAGCCGUGAGGAGAAAUCAUGUCUACAAUCAGCAGCCUUUGUCAGCCAGGUUUCUCUUCCCCCUGCUUCUCUCCAUGUGGCAGCGGUAACCAGCUGCGGUGAAGGUUGAAGACAUUUCAAAACCCAAAGACCCAAAGCAGUGCUGCUUAUACUCAGCUUUCAGCUGAACAAAAGUAAUGUUCUCGUUUCUCAUGUGCAAAGGUGGAAAACAGAUAUCAAAGUGAGCAGCACCUUGCUAGUUUUCUGUGGUUUUAGGUGAAGAGUGUGUCUCAUUCUCUGAUCAAUUAAUUGUGUGGGAGGUGCUAGGUGAAAGGGGGAAGGUCCCCCACUGUAAUUGCUAUACAUUGUACAGAAGAACUGAAGAAGUACAAGAGGAAACAAACCAGGGAAGAGAGGAGAAAAAGCUGGGAACACAAGUUUUUAUAUGAUGCUGUGGUGACUUCGUAUCUUCCUAAAGAUCAGGCAGGGAGAAGAUGGCGGCCCCUUCUGCUCUACUUACAGGCCCUUUUGUCUGUACUUAAGAGCUUGUAACUGUGUCUAAAAGUGUAAGGAAGGGAGAAUAUGGAAGAAAAUCCUGAUUUUACACCAUAAAAUAGUUUGAAAUGUGUGCAUAUACAGGACUCCUCAAUCUGCAGGCCUCUCAAAAGUGACUCUAGUCUUACUGUAAAGGAAGACCAGUAGGAACCAAGUGCUUCUAAAGCAUUUAUCAGCAAUCCUAGAUUCUUCAGUUUUACAUACUUUCUGUAAAGUACACACUUUCUGUGUAAGUCUGUAUGUAUUUUAGUGGGAAAUGCUUAAGCUAUAAAAUAUUGGCAGUGUUUCUUUCAUUGCAAAUGUAUGUAAAAAGGUAAAACACUUGAAAGCAUUUUACAAGACAGUAUUUUGUGGGUUUUUUUGUGGGUUUUAUUUUUCUGAGGUUUUUUUGUUUGUUUGUUUUAUUUCAUAAACUAAAUAAUUAUUGUCUAGCUGAAGCCAUUUUUGGGAAAUUUACAUGCCUUCCUUGCUUGUGGUGUAAAUAACAAAUAUAGUACACUGUCAAUGGGUAUAUGCUGGUAUUGUCCUUAUCUUCUAAUCACUUGUAUUCCUUGAUUAUUUUUUUCUCUCUAAAAACUUUGGAUGUUCCUGUGUAGAUCUUGCCAUACUGCCUGGGUGUUACAACUGAUGCAUUUUGCUUCAUACUGUUCUUUUGAGACCAGCUGGCUGGUAGUUAUUCUUAAGGGCCUUUUAACCUUCAGGCUUUAUUGUUAGGAUUUUGUUUGUUUUUUUAAUAAGGGGAGGCAGGAAAGGGAAGAAAAUAGGUCUAUUUUCAGUCCCUGUGUUUCAUUAAUUAUUCAAAAGCUGUUUCUGUUUUCAUAUCAUAGCUAAGCAGCGAGUCCUGAAGGGAAGGGGAAAUACCAAUAUCUGUCGAUACAUCCAUAGGAUUCACUGAAAAAUAGAUUUUUACCUUUAAUAUAUAUGUUUGCAGUAAUUACAGCAAAAAACUGCUAUUUCUGCAUAAAAUAUCCAAUUUGAAGCAAAGUUCUCUCAAAGAAAGCCACCGAAUAGGGUUACCUGUCUGUGUUUUGAAGAUGUAGGAGUGCUCGUGCUGACUUAGGGCAAUUGCUGUUUAUUGGAGGCUAUCCUCUGGAUUUUUCACUGUGCUACUUAGGGUCCAAAUUGUGUUACCUAUUGCUGAUGUCUAUGAGCUUCUUGGGAAGCUUCUCUUCUUUCAUAUUUUUUCAUUUCAGGAUACCAGUUCAUAGCACCAAGGUACUGAAAUCCAUUUGAAAUUGCAUAAUGUGUGUCAAUAUAAGUGUCUUGAUUUCAAAGAUCUGUAUUAUAAAUAUGUUAUUUAAUAAAUAGAUUUUAUUAUCCUUGUCAGAGUUACCUUUGACAGAAAAUUGAAUUUUGUCUUUAAAUGUGAACCUCUACUGUAAUAGUUCAUACUUUGAGUUUCACAGUUUAAAUAUUCACACAAUUUCAGAAGUAACAUUCUACAAUUUAAGAUGGAGUAAGAAUGUGAGGAAAACUUGCUACCUAAAGUUAAUUUUUCUAGUACUAUGAAUCAUACAUUGAAGAUUUUAUUAUUGACUGAACUAUAUAAGUGAAAAAAAAAAUUGUUUUCCAAGUAUUUAUUUUUUAGUAGAAUCACUGCAUUUCCCAAGUCUUGAUCUUGUCACAGUAAUGGUUUUAGGUCAUGGUUUGGUUUUCUGGUUUUCCAUAAAAUAAAGAGACAGUUAAUUACACCAAAGAACAAGCAAGGGUAACAGAGAAUAUGCCUUUCCAUGGGGAAAAAAAUAAAAUUCCUGCCAUCUCUUCCAUCUCAUGUUAUUUGCAGUGACAAGUAGGAUGGUCUGGGAAAAGUGCAAACCUUGCUGCAGCAACCACAAGAGCAGGGCUGGGGGAGAUCAGGAGUGAGAACAUAGGAUUACUGUGACCAUGCAGGAGGGGUAUGUCAAUAGGGUAGCCUGGGAAUGGACAAAAGUGAAGCAAGCUGCCUUUCCCUCAAUACCCUUUUUGGUUGGGCCUGUAGAAAACACCAGUCUCCUCACUGCAAAACAGCUUCUGGUAACUGAAAAUGAGGAACUGUCUUUGUGAUUGGAAGUGCGUUUGCAGCUGUGAAGACACAAGUUCUCUUCUUCGGGUAAAUAAUAUUUUUCUUAACGUAGACCCCAUUGAAGAGGAUUGGGUUUGCACUGUUGUUAAAUAAAUGUCAAAUAACAUAUUAGUUAUUUUACUGAUAAUGGCCUCAUUCAUUUCUGCUCUUUGUGUUCUGAGCCUUUAAAGUUGAGGAAUUGCAGCCUUGGGAAGUACCCCCCACAGGUAACUGAAUCAUCUAUUAAGUUAGGGUUCAUUUCAGAUUCAGUCACUGUAUUUCCUUUCUCAGAAAUUUUGCAUUAUCUGUUUCAGAUGAGGAAUAGUCUGGAACUCCUAUGGUGUUUUAUUUUCUCUAUAUUGAAUUUGUAUGCUGUAGAUGUCAAUAACAGAAUGACGAUUUAGCAAUAAAAGUUGCCAAAGAUGA